rnacentral:rRNA from 1 species
UCGCCUGUUUAUCAAAAACAUGUCCCCAUGUGUGGUAUUUGGGGUUUGGCCUGCCCACUGAAAAUUUUUAAAGGGCCGCGGUAUUUUGACCGUGCAAAGGUAGCAUAAUCAUUAGUCUUUUAAUUAAAGGCUAGAAUGAAUGGUUGGACGAGACAUUGACUGUCUCAGGGUGGUUGAAUGUAGAAUUUAACAUUUGAGUGAAAAGGCUUAAAUUUAUUUAGAGGACGAGAAGACCCUAUAGAGCUUGACAUUAGGGCUUUGGUAAAUGUGUAGUUGCAAUAGUUUAUGAUUGGCCUUAGUGUUUUAUUGGGGUGAUGGGAAGAUAGGAAAAACUCUUUUUUAGUAAUAAACAUUGAUUCGUGAAUAGUUGAUCCGUUAUUAGUGAUUAUAAGACUAAGUUACCUUAGGGAUAACAGCGUAAUCUUUUUUGAGAGCUCUUAUCGACAAAAAGGGUUGCGACCUCGAUGUUGGAUUAAGGUAAUACUUGGGUGCAGAUGUUCAAGUGUUAGGUCUGUUCGACCUUUAAAUCCUUACAUGAUCUGAGUUCAAACCGGAGA